rnacentral:rRNA from 1 species
CCUACGGGAGGCAGCAGUCGGGAAUUUUGGGCAAUGGGGGAAACCCUGACCCAGCAACGCCGCGUGAGCGAUGAAGGCCUUCGGGUCGUAAAGCUCUGUCGGGAGGGAAGAAGGCUCUCGGAGUGAAUAAUUCCGGGGGAUUGACGGUACCUCUAGAGGAAGCGCCGGCUAACUCCGUGCCGGCAGCCGCGGUAAUACGGAGGGCGCAAGCGUUGUUCGGAAUCACUGGGCGUAAAGCGCGUGUAGGCGGCUUGGUAAGUCAGAUGUGAAAGCCCUGGGCUUAACCCAGGAAGUGCAUUUGAAACUACCAGACUUGAGUAUGGGAGAGGAGAGUGGAAUUCCCAGUGUAGAGGUGAAAUUCGUAGAUAUUGGGAGGAACAUCUGUGGCGAAGGCGACUCUCUGGACCAAUACUGACGCUGAGACGCGAAAGCGUGGGGAGCAAACAGGAUUAGAUACCCUAGUAGUCCACGCCGUAAACGAUGAGAACUAGGUGUAGCGGGUAUUGACCCCUGCUGUGCCGCAGCUAACGCAUUAAGUUCUCCGCCUGGGGAGUACGGCCGCAAGGCUAAAACUUAAAGGAAUUGACGG